rnacentral:tRNA from 1 species
GCCCUGGUAGUGUAGACCGGUCUAGCAUGAAGCCCUGUCGAGGCUUCGACCCGGGUUCAAAGGUGCAUCUUCCUCAAGAAGGAUAUGCUUGAAAAUCCCGGCCAGGGCG